GGAAAAAUGUAAAGCGUUAUGUGGAUCGAACAUUAGUAGAGAAGCGUGUGAGCCAGCUGCCAAGAAAAGCCGCUAUUGCUUCAUAAGUACCCGUACCGUAAACCGACACAGGUGGAUGAGGAGAGAAUCCUAAGGCCGGCGGGAGAAGUGUUGUUAAGGAACUCGGCAAAAUGACUCCGUAACUUCGGGAGAAGGAGUGCCACAGAGAUGUGGCCGCAGAGAAAUGGCCCAAGCAACUGUUUAGCAAAAACACAGGUCUAUGCAAAACCGAAAGGUGAGGUAUAUGGGCUGACGCCUGCCCGGUGCUGGAAGGUUAAGAGGAGAGGUUAGAGCAAUCGAAGCUUUGAAUUUAAGCCCCAGUAAACGGCGGCCGUAACUAUAACGGUCCUAAGGUAGCGAAAUUCCUUGUCGGGUAAGUUCCGACCCGCACGAAAGGCGUAAUGAUUUGGGCACUGUCUCAACAACACACCCGGUGAAAUUGAAAUACCAGUGAAGAUGCUGGUUACCUGCGCCAGGACGGAAAGGCCCCAUGGAGCUUUACUCCAGUUUGAUACUGGGAUUCGGUACUGUCUGUACAGGAUAGGUGGGAGGCUAGGAAAUGGUGACGCCAGUUGCCAUGGAGCCAACCUUGGGAUACCACCCUUACAGUACUGGGUUUCUAACCUGCAGCCGUGACCCGGCUGGGGGACAAUGUCUGACGGGGAGUUUGACUGGGGCGGUCGCCUCCGAAAGAGUAUCGGAGGCGCUCAAAGGUUCCCUCAGAACGGUUGGAAACCGUUCGAAGAGUGCAAAGGCAGAAGGGAGCUUGACUGCGACACCGACGGGUGGAGCAGAUACGAAAGUAGGACUUAGUGAUCCGGUGGUAUAAAGUGGGAUUGCCAUCGCUCAACGGAUAAAAGCUACCCUGGGAUAACAGGCUUAUCACUCCCAAGAGUUCACAUCGACGGAGUGGUUUGGCACCUCGAUGUCGGCUCAUCGCAUCCUGGAGCUGUAGCAGGUUCCAAGGGUUGGGCUGUUCGCCCAUUAAAGCGGUACGCGAGCUGGGUUCAGAACGUCGUGAGACAGAUCGGUCCCUAUCCGGCGUGGGCGUAGGAUAUUUGAGAGGAGCUGUCCUUAGUACGAGAGGACCGGGAUGGACAAACCUCUGGUGUAUCUGUUGUUUUACCAAAGGCAUGGCAGAGUAGCCAAGUUUGGCAGGGAUAAACGCUGAAGGCAUCUAAGCGUGAAGCCCCCCUCAAGAUAAGAUAUCCCAUCUUCGGAGUAAGACCCCUUGAAGACUACAACGUUGAUAGGCUUCAGGUGUAAGUGUGGUAACGCACUCAGCUGAGAAGUACUAAUAGGUCGAGGACUUACCAAA
rnacentral:rRNA from 1 species